UAGGCUUAACACAUGCAAGUCGAACGGUAACAUAGCUAGCUUGCUAGCUGAUGACGAGUGGCGGACGGGUGAGUAACGCGUAGGAAUCUACCUAUUAGUGGGGGACAACCUGGUGAAAACCAGGCUAAUACCGCAUACGCCCUACGGGGGAAAGCAGGGGAUCUUCGGACCUUGCGCUAUUAGAUGAGCCUGCGUUAGAUUAGCUUGUUGGUGAGGUAAUGGCUCACCAAGGCGACGAUCUAUAGCUGGUCUGAGAGGAUGAUCAGCCACACUGGGACUGAGACACGGCCCAGACUCCUACGGGAGGCAGCAGUGGGGAAUAUUGCGCAAUGGGCGAAAGCCUGACGCAGCCAUACCGCGUGUGUGAAGAAGGGUUUAGGCUCGUAAAGCACUUUAAGUAGGGAGGAAGGCCUGUAAAUUAAUACUUUGCAGGAUUGACGUUACCUACAGAAUAAGCACCGGCUAACUCCGUGCCAGCAGCCGCGGUAAUACGGAGGGUGCAAGCGUUAAUCGGAAUUACUGGGCGUAAAGCGCGCGUAGGCGGUUUGUUAAGCGAGAUGUGAAAGCCCAGGGCUCAACCUUGGAACUGCAUUUCGAACUGGCAGGCUAGAGUACAAGAGAGGGUGGUAGAAUUUCCUGUGUAGCGGUGAAAUGCGUAGAUAUAGGAAGGAAUACCAGUGGCGAAGGCGGCCACCUGGCUUGAUACUGACGCUGA
rnacentral:rRNA from 1 species